CUUGUACUCCCUCCAUCCGAAAAUACUUGUCAUUGAAAUGGAUGUAUCUAGAUGUAUUUUAGUUCUAGACACAUCCAUUUUGAUGACAAGUAAUUCUGGACGAAGGGAGUACUUG
rnacentral:pre_miRNA from 1 species